UCGCUUGCUCCUUUAGUCAAGUGGUGUGGAACCAUAUCUGCCAGGGAGGCAAAUUUGUCGCGGAUGCCUUAGAUCAUCUAGGUCCUUCGGUUGAGACUCCUCACAUUUGGAUCAUUGCUUACCCUCUAUUGCUCUUAAUGCUUUUAAUUUUGAUAGUAUGGGAAACCAGUGUUCUCGUGGCUUUUCACUUUGAUGAUUUUUUUUUUUUUUUUUUUUUGAUAAAAUAAAAAUUUUUAAAAAUAAAUCAAACUUCGGCCCUUUAAUUUUGGGCCUCCCCAGCCCGGCCUGCCCCAACUCAAGUCGUCCUCCCGAAAUCAAAGAGGGCGCGCAGAGAAACCGAACGUUCGAAAUCCGAAUUAACUCGCCGAAGUAGCAUAAGCUGGGAGAAGAAAACGUGGGUAUUCAAAUUGGGGGGCAAAUAGAGAAGGUGAGCGGGAAAAAACUGGGGUACAACGAGUUCGUGGGGAGGUACUUGGAGAAAAACCAGCCUGUGGUGCUUACAGGUCUCAUGGACGAUUGGAGAGUGCAGAUUGGGUCACCGACAACGGCCAGCCAAAUCUUCAAUUUUUCGCUACCCAUUUAGGAAAAUCCAAAGUUCAGGAAGAUGCAAUUUCCAUAAACCACAACUGGUUCAAUGCUUAUAAUAUUCGUUGGGUGGGGGACUACUACUACAAGGCUAUGGAGUACAUAGAAGACAUCAAGGAUAUAUGUGAUGAUUUUGAAGGUCUCUGCCAACAGAACCUUGCCGCUAAUACAGGUAAAGUGCAAACUUUUGAAGAAAGCUUAAACUCAGUAGAUGACAGUGUACUGUAUCCUAAUAUUCUAGCAGAUGAACCUGCAAUAACCUAAAGCUUUGUUUAAAUGAGGGUGGAAAAGGGAAAAAUCCCAAUCUGCUGGCUAAUUUUUUCUUUUUAAUGCAAACUUCAGUGAUUUCUUAA